UGGGUAAUCUGCCCUCGAUUCUGGGAUAGCCCGGGGAAACCCGGAUUAAUACCGGAUAGCCUUUUGAUCCUUCGGGUGAAAAAGAAAAGGUAGCUUCGGCCUCCGAUCGAGGAUGAGCCCGCGGUGGAUUAGCUUGUUGGCGGGGUAACGGCCCACCAAGGCGACGAUCCAUAGCUGGUCUGAGAGGACGAUCAGCCACACUGGGACUGAGACACGGCCCAGACUCCUACGGGAGGCAG
rnacentral:rRNA from 1 species